ACCCAGAUAGCAAAAAAUAUCCGCAGGACUUCUUUUUGCCGCCAGCCCUAAGCUGUCGGCUAUAGGUGCGUCCCGCUGGCGGGGAUGAAACGUUUGCCGCCGAAUACGUCACUCCCCUCUCUUGCGAUUUGCCGCCGGCAUGCAGCCGGCGGCCCGACUGCUUAAUUUUCUCUGGCGGUUGCCUCCGUCUAAUAGACCGCGGCAGGCUGGCGGCAAGCCGCUUUGAAAUCUUCUCAAACUCAACAUUGGCCAUUGGAGUUAAAGUACUGACAGCAUUUUAACUUUCACAUUUGAGCGGUUAUAAAAUCAUAAUAGCCUAUAUAUGUGAAUUAUAUCAAAUAGGAUAGUUGUUUUGCUCCAAAGCAAAGAUAUGUAAGUUAUGUUUAUACGAAUGUGUUUUAAGUUAGUUUCCUUUUUUACACCCUGAGUUCAAGCAUGUUUCACAUGCAUCUAAAGCCAGUAGGGUUUAUAACAGAUUCUUGAAGUUUUAGGAAAUUACAUUUAAAUUACUUUUAAACUCUGAAGCGAUUAUACAGUAAUAUAUGUGAAAUAUAUCGAAUUAUUUUAUCACUUAGGUGAACAUUUGUACAUGUCUUUGAUUUAUGCACUUGACUGGAAAUUUCCUUUAUGUCUUUCAUUAUUUUCCAACAUCGAUUUAAUUUUUUUUACCUUUUACAUGUACAAGGAUUAUUUUGCGAUUGCGACCUGUACAAAUUAAUUGAGAGAAAAAAGAAAGUGUUAAAGCACAAACAGUGAAGUACCGCCACCGGUCGACAGGGGCAGCACUUAAAAAAGACGGAAGAAUUGUAAACCGGAAGAUAACGUGUCCUCCCAGAGAGCACUCGGCGUCACACAUUUCAGUGUUUGAAGAGAGGAUCAAGAUACAGAUUUAAGACAAAAGUCAUCAAUUACGAUCGUUUAAAUAGCUUGCCCAGAGCACAGCAUCUCGUGCACAGCAUGAAGUUUUCAGCUAUCAAGAUUUCUAGAGGCUCCAGAAUGAAAACCAAGCCCUGCACUGCAAAAAAUGAAAGUCUUGCUUGGUUUUCUUUUGUCUUGUUUUCUAAUAUUAGUAUCUGAAAAUUCUUAAAUUGAGACACUGACUUUGUAAGCAAGUGGCUUAAGAUAUUAAGUUUUGUUUAUUGAAAUAAAUUAUGAAAAUCGGGAGUUUUUUGUUACUUAAAACAAGUAAAAAAUUGCCUGUGCAGUAAGAAAAAUAAACUAAAUUCCAGUUUUUAACUUAAUCAACUUAAAUUAAGUUUGUUUUUCUUACUGCAUUGGCAGAUAUUUUGACUUGUUUUAAGUAAAAAGAAAAACUCUUGAUUUUUAUCAUUUAUUUCAAUAACAAGACUUAAUAUCUUAAGCCACUUGCUUACCAAGUCAAUGUAUCUCAAUUUGAGAAUUUUUAGAUAUUUAUAUUAGAAAACAAGACAAAAAAACUAGGUAAGACAAUCAUUUUUUGCAGUGUGAGGGUGAAGAACCAAGCCCCGAGGGAACGUAGUGAACGAGCAGCUUCGGAUGACAGCGGCUUACAUUUAAUGUUGCUUGACAACACUUUGAGGCAGGAUAAAAUGCUCCAGGAACAAGUUCUUUAGAGUAUCUUCUCUAAUCACCUUUCAAUUAAUACAACCUGGACUGGUGUAGGGAAUCAAGCAUGUUUUAGAGACCUGUUUCUGAAGACCAUUGUUCAAAGAGCCAUCCGAAAGAACCCGGCAACCCAGGAUGCCACUGAUGGGGCUGUCCAGGUUAAUGUUACGCGUAACCUGAAAGGAGCAUCUGACCGUGAAGGCGGAUAAAGGCGGCACACAGCUGAGAGGGACCCACAGCUGACCCCUUAAACCGAGGCUGACUACUGACACCCCAGCAUCACUGACAACUGGAACCCUUUCUUUAUCCUGCAGUCAGUAACAUCAAGAAGCCUGAAAUGUGACAGUACACUCAACCAAUCCACACUUCACUGUGAAAAUUACUUUUCUUUUUUUCCAAAUUCCCUGGGACCCUGCCUUGAUGGCAGCUCCUCGGAAAGAUAUGGAAUGGCGAGAAGGUUUGUCCUUUAUACAGGUGCACGAGAUAAAGUACUGAUCAUAAGCGCCUCAUGCUUAUACAUUACAUUCAUGUGGAUCUUUUUUAAUGUCUUUAGUGUCUUUUACUGUUUUUUUUGUCAUGUGGAUUUGUUUUUUUAAUCAUUCUGUUUAUGUUGAUGUGUGUUGUGUUAUAAGCUACUGGGACCUUGAAUUUCCCAUUGAGGAUCAAUAAAGUAUCUGUUCAUUUUUCAUUCACAAGAGACAGAUCAUAUUGCAGCAAAGUAAAAAUAUUGUGUCCCAGGUCAGCAAUGCCAUUAUAAUAGUCUAUUCUAGUCCAGAGCUUUACUCUAAAUCAGUGGUUCUCAAUCCUGUUCCUGGGGACCCCCUGCUUUGCACAUUUUGUAUGUAUUCCUUAUCUAACACACCUGACUCUAAUCAUCUCAUUAGAUGAGAGCUCCAUGAACUAAGCACAGUGUGUCAGGUUAGACAGACAUACAAAAUGUGCAGAGCAGGGGGUCCCCAGGAACAGGAUUGAGAACCACUGCUCUAAAUGAUUAACACUUAUCCUAUUGUUAGAAAUGACUAUUAUUUGGUAUGCUGGCCAUUCUUUGGUACCAAAUAUCCUCAUUACUUAAUAUAAUGUUUACUGGUAGCCUAAUUAUUUUCAUCUUAGAGCUGACCUCUAAAUUAUUAACAAUUGUUGAAAAUGUUCUAAUUUGCUUGUAAUGUUUUUUUUUAAACUAGAAUUUAUUUGAAAA